UCGCACGCGUUCCGUCACGUCGACAGUAAAGUUUCGACUGCAGAAGCCGUAGGAGCCAACUGCGUCCCGCAGACACCAAAGUCCAGAUAUCCACAUGAGACAAAUAUGAAUAAUGCGCGACUGACCCAAUUUUUAUUCAACAGAAAGAAAAGAAACGAUGGAAGUAUAUUGAAACUGGAGAUGGAAGUUGGCUGCAGACUCAAAAAUAAUGUCAAGGAUUGUUCUUAAUUUACUGGUUUGCAAUCUUUCCCGAUCCUUGAAGCCCCUGCGAGAGGGAUGAAUGAACACUCGAAGUCGAUAUAGAUUUCUUUCUUCUUCCAAACUUGGGAGGAUAGAAAUUUCGGGGCGAAGGAAGCAUCGAUCGACCGCGAGAGAAAGAGGACGUCACGUCAGGUGGAGCUGGGUCCAGGGAAAACGAGAAGAUGAGGUGGCAUCGGGUCGACGGGCGGCUGCUUUUCAGUCGCCACCCCCGGCAUCGAUCCAACAACCGCCGAACGCGAACGAGGAGGAGGUCCUGGACGAAAUGUACACUAUACCCUGCUUGCCCGCAGUUUCGCGAGAGAAACACACACGCGAAAAUCCACUUUUUGCACGCAAACCUCUCCUCCGGUUGUCCAAUGAUGGAAAAUACACCGACUUACUUCGUACGGGUCUGUUAUAAAUUUUACAUGUAUCUUUACCGCGAUUGGAAAUGGUUCCUUUCUUGAUCGUUGGACGAAAUAUAAAGAAAAAAUU